rnacentral:rRNA from 1 species
AUUGAACGCUGGCGGCAUGCCUUACACAUGCAAGUCGAACGGCAGCGGGGGAGAAGCUUGCUUUUCCUGCCGGCGAGUGGCGAACGGGUGAGUAAUACAUCGGAACGUGCCCUGUAGUGGGGGAUAACUAGUCGAAAGAUUAGCUAAUACCGCAUACGACCUGAGGGUGAAAGUGGGGGACCGCAGGGCCUCAUGCUAUAGGAGCGGCCGAUGUCUGAUUAGCUAGUUGGGGGGGUAAAGGCCUACCAAGGCGACGAUCAGUAGCUGGUCUGGGAGGACGAUCGGCCACACUGGGACUGAGACACGGCCCAAGCUCCUACGGGAGGCAGCAGUGGGGAAUUUUGGACAAUGGGCGAAAGCCUGAUCCAGCAAUGCCGCGUGUGAAGAAGGCCUUCGGGUUGUAAAGCACUUUUGUCCGGAAAGAAAUGGCUCUGGUUAAUACCUGGGGUCGAUGACGGUACCGGAAGAAUAAGGACCGGCUAACUACGUGCCAGCCGCCGCCGUAA